GCUGUCCAGAGAGAGAAAGGAUAAUUUAAUAGCUUUCCUCAAAUCUAACUUUGCUGAAUUGUUUGUUAUCCUUGUUCUGCUAAACUCUCACCUCUGCUAAGUGCAAAAAGACCACUUUCACGCUUUGUCAGUUCAGUUUCAUUAGAAAUGCAAAAUCAGGACCCAGGAAGAAUUGAAGAAUGACACACACAUACACAACCCAGAAAGCUGGAAGCCUUCUUGAUUAGACAUUUCAAAUGGAGUCUGUAAAACCUAAGCAUAAUUAUAUUACAUUAUUCCAGGAUUUUUUAAAAUGAUGAAAUAUGAGGCUAUUCUGCUCUGAAAAGAAAAAAACCAAACAUUGUGGUUUGGACCUUCGAAGUGUUUUCUAAUCCUUAAUGAUAGUUAUUCAAGGAAAUGACUUUUUUUGUGGGUGGGGAACUACCCUUAUAUCUCUCAGGAGCAACUGGCAGAAAAAUAGGAUCAGAUAUUAUUCUCUGUAAUUUCCAUGUAGAUAUUUGAAAAGCAAGAUGAGGCUUGUAGUUCAGAGGAAGUCCCAUCUAGAUUAGAUUACUUUCAGCAUAGUGUGUGAAUUAUAAAAGGAAAUAUACUAAAUACCCAGAUUCCCCCAAGAAACCUGUGGCUUUUGGCUCUUUUCUGUUUUGUUCUU